rnacentral:misc_RNA from 1 species
GAAAUGCGAUAAGUAGUGUGAAUUGCAGAAUUCAGUGAAUCAUCGAAUCUUUGAACGCACAUUGCGCCCCUUGGUAUUCCAUGGGGCAUGCCUGUUCGAGCGUCAUUUGUACCCUCAAGCUCUGCUUGGUGUUGGGUGAUUGUCCCGUCUCCGCGCGUGGACUCGCCCCAAAGUGAUUGGCAGCCGGCGUACUGGUCCCGGAGCGCAGCACAUGUCGCGCAAACGAGUGCCUUGGUACGGCGGCGUCCAUAAGCCCCUCUCUCACGCUCUUGACCUCGGAUCAGGUAGGGAUACCCGCUGAACUUAAGC